rnacentral:ncRNA from 1 species
GGGAGUUCUGCGCCAGAAUAAAAACUUUGCUGUAAUCGAAAUUUUCAUUACAGCAAAGUUUUAUUCUGGCGCAGAACUCCCCGGUUUAGAAAAUUACAUGGAAUGACCUAGCCUUAAAGGAUAAAUGCCAGUAAUUAGAAUUAGAAAUUAAAACAAUUUAGAACUAGUUUCCCUUAAACUCUGGUCAAACCCGUGCCAGCUACCGCGGUUAAACGAAGAGGGUAAGAGGCGUAUAAUAGGGUGUAACUAAUAAGUUAUAAGGGCUACUUUAAAAUUGAGAGUGAAAUCUAAUUUUUGUAUAACCUUAAUCGAGAAAUUACGAAAGCUAUAUAACAACUAGGAUUAGAUACCCUACUACUAUGCUGUUAACUACGCCCUGAGUAGUACCAGUGUCAGCUUUAAACUCAAAGAAUUUGGCGGCACCCUCCCCCGCUAGAGGAGCCUGCCCCAUAAACGAUGACCCACGCUACGAUAGUCCUACAUUAAUAGUUUGUAUACCGCCGUUUAGGGUGUAUUAGGAAGUACACUCGAGAUAAAAUUAAUUAGUAUAUCAGGUCAAGGUGCAGCCUAUGUAUAGGAGGUGGUGGGCUACAUUGAUAGUAUUUACACGCAAUUUAUCUAUAAUAGUUAAAUCAAGGUGGAUUUAUAAGUAAAACAUUAGGUUAUCAUGUUUGAAGGGGUUCUAGGGUGUGCACACAUCGCCCGUCGCUCUCUUUUUAACAAGAGAUAAGUCGUAACAAAGUAGGCGUACCGGAAGGUGCUCCUAGAUAGCG